GGGACACGUGGUAUCCUGUCUGAAUAUGGGGGGACCAUCCUCCAAGGCUAAAUACUCCUGACUGACCGAUAGUGAACCAGUACCGUGAGGGAAAGGCGAAAAGAACCCCGGCGAGGGGAGUGAAAAAGAACCUGAAACCGUGUACGUACAAGCAGUGGGAGCACGCUUAGGCGUGUGACUGCGUACCUUUUGUAUAAUGGGUCAGCGACUUAUAUUCUGUAGCAAGGUUAACCGAAUAGGGGAGCCGAAGGGAAACCGAGUCUUAACUGGGCGUUAAGUUGCAGGGUAUAGACCCGAAACCCGGUGAUCUAGCCAUGGGCAGGUUGAAGGUUGGGUAACACUAACUGGAGGACCGAACCGACUAAUGUUGAAAAAUUAGCGGAUGACUUGUGGCUGGGGGUGAAAGGCCAAUCAAACCGGGAGAUAGCUGGUUCUCCCCGAAAGCUAUUUAGGUAGCGCCUCGUGAAUUCAUCUCCGGGGGUAGAGCACUGUUUCGGCAAGGGGGUCAUCCCGACUUACCAACCCGAUGCAAACUGCGAAUACCGGAGAAUGUUAUCACGGGAGACACACGGCGGGUGCUAACGUCCGUCGUGAAGAGGGAAACAACCCAGACCGCCAGCUAAGGUCCCAAAGUCAUGGUUAAGUGGGAAACGAUGUGGGAAGGCCCAGACAGCCAGGAUGUUGGCUUAGAAGCAGCCAUCAUUUAAAGAAAGCGUAAUAGCUCACUGGUCGAGUCGGCCUGCGCGGAAGAUGUAACGGGGCUAAACCAUGCACCGAAGCUGCGGCAGCGACGCUUAUGCGUUGUUGGGUAGGGGAGCGUUCUGUAAGCCUGCGAAGGUGUGCUGUGAGGCAUGCUGGAGGUAUCAGAAGUGCGAAUGCUGACAUAAGUAACGAUAAAGCGGGUGAAAAGCCCGCUCGCCGGAAGACCAAGGGUUCCUGUCCAACGUUAAUCGGGGCAGGGUGAGUCGACCCCUAAGGCGAGGCCGAAAGGCGUAGUCGAUGGGAAACAGGUUAAUAUUCCUGUACUUGGUGUUACUGCGAAGGGGGGACGGAGAAGGCUAUGUUGGCCGGGCGACGGUUGUCCCGGUUUAAGCGUGUAGGCUGGUUUUCCAGGCAAAUCCGGAAAAUCAAGGCUGAGGCGUGAUGACGAGGCACUACGGUGCUGAAGCAACAAAUGCCCUGCUUCCAGGAAAAGCCUCUAAGCAUCAGGUAACAUCAAAUCGUACCCCAAACCGACACAGGUGGUCAGGUAGAGAAUACCAAGGCGCUUGAGAGAACUCGGGUGAAGGAACUAGGCAAAAUGGUGCCGUAACUUCGGGAGAAGGC
rnacentral:rRNA from 1 species